GUGUUAAGAAAAUUACUUUUAGAACAAAAUAGCAAAAGGCAAGCUAGUGGGAAGUCAUAACACACAUAGAAGAAACAUCAGGAGGGAAAUUGCUGCCAAACAACCGCCACCUUUACAGGUAUUUUGCAAGUCUACGUAGAGUUGCAGAGAGAUCGUUGAUAUGAAAAUGCAGCUCUUUGAAGAAUACCACCAACUUAUCCUGAAUUAAAAAGGCAAUUAUCUGAUGGCACUUAUAGUUGUCCUUGCUAUUCAAAGAUGAUGCCUUUGGACCUAUACUGAAGACACAGAGAAUAUAAGACAGUCAUCCCUCAGCUACACACUUACAGAUGGGACAGGAGACCUCAAAAGAGUAUGCAAAGCUACAUCAAAUACCACUGGAAUUUCUGCUAAUAAACUCAAAUAAGUUCAUGAAGAAAAUAAGUUUCUGUAGUUUUCAAAGACAGCUCUGAAGGUCCUAAAAAAUUCAGAUUUACUGAAUGGAACAGAAUUCAAUUGAAAAAUCACAUUAACUUAUUACCCAGAAAUGUUGUUCAUUAUGAUCAUUUUGAAUCUGAAAGGACUUAUACUCCAUGUGUACUGCCUUCAAGGAAAAGCAUCCUGACAGUUGUGUAUCACAUAAGUUCUAUCAAAAAAUAUUCUAGAACAGCUUUCCUAAGCUAUUGUUAAGAUGACCAAAGAGUGAUACUUGCAAAAUGUGUGAUUAUUUAAACAUACAGUCAAAAGCUAGUGACCCCAUACAAUCACCAAAGCCAAAGAGAUGCUCAAGUUACACCACAGAAAAGCUAAGAGUGGCUCUUCUGCAUUGAAAAGUGACACAGUAUCCAGCACAUUACCCCACAGCCAACAUUGCACCAUUGAUGGAAAUUUUGAAAAUUUCCUCAACCAGUUGGAAAGCUGUCUGCGUCACCUACUGCACUUAUGGACAAAAAUUGCUUUUUGUGGAGACUUCAACAUUCAUAUUGGGGAAGAGACUUCAAAUGAGAAACCAACAUAGGACAGUAAGAACUGGAAUGUGUGAGAGGGUAGUUGUGUGUAACUGUCAGUAAUCCAUGCCACAGUAAACUGCAGCACUCAGGUCUAUAGCAAGAACAGCAGUUUACAUAUUUCUUAGCUGUGUAUGUAUCUGCAUAAGACAGAAUGCAUUUAAAUAUUAUUUGUCUCAUUUAAAACUGACAGUUGAGUUUGAUAUGACAUUUCAACAAUGUAAUGAAAACACCAGAGUAUUCACCAAAAUCUUCAAUUGUUUGUUCAGCUUACCAUAGAAAAAUCAUUUUACAUCGAAGCAUUUCAAGCAGUUAGUUACAUAGUUGU